CAGUCGCCGCGGUAACACAGAGGGUGCGAUCGUUAAUCGGAUUUACUGGGCGUAAAGCGUGCGUAGGCGGCUUCUUAAGUCGGAUGUGAAAUCCCUGAGCUUAACUUAGGAAUUGCAUUCGAUACUGGGAAGCUAGAGUAUGGGAGAGGAUGGUAGAAUUCCAGGUGUAGCGGUGAAAUGCGUAGAGAUCUGGAGGAAUACCGAUGGCGAAGGCAGCCAUCUGGCCUAAUACUGACGCUGAGGUACGAAAGCAUGGGGAGCAAACAGGAUUAGAUACCCCAGUAGUCCCUGUCUCUUAUAC
rnacentral:rRNA from 1 species